UACGAAGGGGGCUAGCGUUGCUCGGAAUCACUGGGCGUAAAGCGCACGUAGGCGGCUUUCUAAGUCAGGGGUGAAAUCCUGGAGCUCAACUCCAGAACUGCCUUUGAUACUGGAGAGCUUGAGUCCGGAAGAGGUGAGUGGAACUCCGAGUGUAGAGGUGAAAUUCGUAGAUAUUAGGAAGAACACCAGUGGCGAAGGCGCUCACUGGUCCGGUACUGACGCUGAGGUGCGAAAGCGUG
rnacentral:rRNA from 1 species